rnacentral:misc_RNA from 1 species
GAUGAAGAACGUAGCGAAAUGCGAUAAGUAAUGUGAAUUGCAGAAUUCAGUGAAUCAUCGAAUCUUUGAACGCACAUUGCGCCCGCCAGUAUUCUGGCGGGCAUGCCUGUCUGAGCGUCAUUUCAACCCUCAUGCCCCUAGGGCGUGGUGUUGGGGAUCGGCCAAAGCCCGCGAGGGACGGCCGGCCCCUAAAUCUAGUGGCGGACCCGUCGUGGCCUCCUCUGCGAAGUAGUGAUAUUCCGCAUCGGAGAGCGAUGAGCCCCUGCCGUUAAACCCCCAACUUUCCAAGGUUGACCUCAGAUAAGGUAGGAAUACCCGCUGAACUUAAGCAUAUCAAUAAGCGGAGGA